rnacentral:tRNA from 1 species
GGGGUGGAGCAGCCUGGUAGCUCGUCGGGCUCAUAACCCGAAGGUCGUCGGUUCGAAUCCGGCCCCCGCAACCA